rnacentral:rRNA from 1 species
UAUUUGAGAGUUUGAUCCUGGCUCAGGAUGAACGCUGGCGGCGUGCCUAACACAUGCAAGUCGAGCGAACCCUUCGGGGUGAGCGGCGGACGGGUGAGUAACGCGUGGGUAACCUGCCCUGUACACACGGAUAACAUACCGAAAGGUAUGCUAAUACGGGAUAA